CUAUUUUUAGCUUUGAUGGUAAAUGAAGACUGCAUAAUUGGUCCAAAACACUUGGAAGGAAAAGGUGUCUCCAUGCUCCAGCCAGAUCACUGAAUCAGUCACAACCCAAAUCUGUCAACUCAUUAACUCCGGAUCAGUAUCAAUUCUGGGAUUGACGGCACCACCUGGAAAAGAGCAGUUCCUGGAUCAGUCUCCUCUGGGUUACCUUGUCUUACCUGUCAACGCGUCACAUCCUACCACAGCUCUGUUGUGGCAGCGCUGCAGGCUGCUGCUGCCAGGGGAUGAGCUGCUUCCAGAGGUUUUAGUGUGUGUGUGUCAGAGAGAGAGACAG